GCGACUGUGGCUCAGUAGGAAGAGUAGUCGUCUUGCAAUCAGAAGGCUGUGGGUUCGAUUCCAACUUCCUCCGGCCAUA